rnacentral:lncRNA from 1 species
GGAUCCCAGCUCUUGGCAUUUGCAAUUUUUUUUUUUAACAUGGCACAGAUGCUGGGUCUUCAGCAUCUGAUCUGUAAAAUGAGAACAACUUGACAUACCUUUUAGAGCUUUGGGAGGAGAUAACAAGGCAGGAGAGGGAUUAUACAUGAAGAGCCUAGUAGACUACUGGCCCAGAGUAUGUACGCAAGAAAUGGUGGCUUUUGAAACCAUUACUACUGUUACAAUACAUUGUCUGAAUGCAUGCUGUAGAAUAAUGAGAUUGGACUUCAUUGAAAUCUGGAAUCGCCACUCAUUCUCCAAUAAUCUUAAACAAAUCACUUAAUCCCUCUGGGCCCUGGAGGAUAAUAUAAUCUCUAUGAUCCCCUUCAGCUCUAAAAGCUUUACUUAAAUUCAGAGUAUUGGUUUUAUCCUGGAUACAAUCGUAUCAAAUUUGUGCACAAGACUUAUCGAAGAGUGAAUAUAAUUCUUCAUAAACUUCCACUUAUGUAACAGUCUGUAAUGAUUUUUUAAAAAAAAUCUAAUUUGUUACCAAUUUGGAUCUACAUUAGGUUAAUAACUCACUUAAAGGCUCUGGGUUAAUUUAUUGAGCUCUCUAUGGCACAAAGUGAGUUUACACUAACCAGAGUGACAAGCAAGAAUAACAAGACCUUCAGGUAGGGUUAAAUUUCAACAGUUCCAAUUGUAUUAACCCACUUCCCCAAACAAACAAACAAAAGCCAAAUUUCACUAUGUUUUCUCCAUUGUACUGAAAGUGUGUUAUUUAAAAGGAGAAAUUGGUUCCGGUGUUCUACAAUUCUAAUCCAGUCCUCAGAAAAUACAUUAUAAUGAUAUUUAU